AAACCUUAUAUAUAGUUUUUUCAUAUAAUCGCGGGGAUAUGGCCUGCAAGUUUCUACCGGUUUACCGUAAAUGAACCGACUAUGGAAAAGCGGAAAAUUCGA
rnacentral:ncRNA from 20 species